GGAAUAUUGGUCAAUGGGCGGGAGCCUGAACCAGCCAAGUCGCGUGAGGGACGACGGUCCUAUGGAGUGUAAACCUCUUUUGUCGGGGAACAAAGUUGCCCACGGGUGGGCGGAUGAGUGUAUCCGAAUAAAAAGCAUCGGCUAACUCCGUGCCAGCAGCCGCGGUAAUACGGAGGAUGCGAGCGUUAUCCGGAUUUAUUGGGCUUAAAGGGUGCGUAGGCGGACAGUCAAGUCAGCGGUAAAAAUGCGGUGCUCAACGCCGCACAGCCGUUGAAACCGGCAGUCUUGAGUGGGCGAGAAGUAUGCGGAAUGCGUGGUGUAGCGGUGAAAUGCAUAGAUAUCACGCAGAACUCCGAUUGCGAAGGCAGCAUACCGGCGCCCUACUGACGCUGAGGCACGAAAGCGUGGGUAUCGAAC
rnacentral:rRNA from 1 species